rnacentral:rRNA from 1 species
UACGGAGGGUGCUAGCGUUGUCCGGAAUCACUGGGCGUAAAGGGCGCGUAGGCGGCUCGGUAAGUCGGAUGUGAAAUCCCGGGGCUCAACUCCGGGGCUGCAUCCGAAACUGUCGAGCUUGAGCGUGGUAGAGGCGAGUGGAAUUCCCGGUGUAGCGGUGGAAUGCGUAGAGAUCGGGAAGAACACCGGUGGCGAAGGCGGCUCGCUGGGCCAUUGCUGACGCUGAGGCGCGAAAGCGUGGGGAG